AUUGAACGCUGGCGGCAGGCUUAACACAUGCAAGUCGAGCGGGGAAGAGUAGCUUGCUACUUAACCUAGCGGCGGACGGGUGAGUAAUGCUUAGGAAUCUGCCUAUUAGUGGGGGACACCAUCUCGAAAGGGAUGCUAAUACCGCAUACGUCCUACGGGAGAAAGCAGGGGACCUUCGGGCCUUGCGCUAAUAGAUGAGCCUAAGUCGGAUUAGCUAGUUGGUGGGGGAAAGGCCUACCAAGGCGACGAUCUGUAGCGGGUCUGAGAGGAUGAUCCGCCACACUGGACUGAGACACGGCCCAGACUCCUACGGGAGGCAGCAGUGGGGAAUAUUGGACAAUGGGGGGAACCCUGAUCCAGCCAUGCCGCGUGUGUGAAGAAGGCCUUUUGGUUGUAAAGCACUUUAAGCGAGGAGGAGGCUACCGAGAUUAAUACUCUUGGAUAGUGGACGUUACUCGCAGAAUAAGCACCGGCUAACUCUGUGCCAGCCGCCGCAGUAAAAC
rnacentral:rRNA from 1 species